rnacentral:rRNA from 1 species
AACGAACGCUGGCGGCGCGCCUAAUACAUGCAAGUCGAGCGAGAAGACGUAGCAAUACGUUUGUAAAGCGGCGAACGGGUGAGGAAUACAUGGGUAACCUACCCUCGAGUGGGGAAUAACUAGCCGAAAGGUUAGCUAAUACCGCGUACGCUCCUUGGACUUCGGUUCAGGGAGGAAAGCGAUACCGUGGGUAUCGCGCUCUUGGAUGGGCUCAUGUCCUAUCAGCUUGUUGGUGAGGUAACGGCUCACCAAGGCUUCGACGGGUAGCUGGUCUGAGAGGACAAUCAGCCACACUGGCACUGCGACACGGGCCAGACUCCUACGGGAGGCAGCAGUAAGGAAUAUUGCGCAAUGGGCAAAGCCUGACGCAGCGACGCCGCGUGGGGGAUGAAGGUCUUCGGAUU